rnacentral:rRNA from 2 species
GGUGAUUCAUAAUAACUUAACGAAUCGCAUGGCCUUGCGCCGGCGAUGGUUCAUUCAAAUUUCUGCCCUAUCAACUUUCGAUGGUAGGAUAGUGGCCUACCAUGGUCUCAACGGGUAACGGGGAAUUAGGGUUCUAUUCCGGAGAGGGAGCCUGAGAAACGGCUACCACAUCCAAGGAAGGCAGCAGGCGCGCAAAUUACCCAAUCCCAAUUCGGGGAGGUAGUGACAAUAAAUACUGAUACAGGGCUCUUUUGGGUCUUGUAAUUGGAAUGAGUACAAUCUAAAUCCCUUAACGAGGAACAAUUGGAGGGCAAGUCUGGUGCCAGCAGCCGCGGUAAUUCCAGCUCCAAUAGCGUAUAUUAAAGUUGUUGCCGUUAAAAAGCUCGUAGUUGAACCUUGGGCCUGGCUGAUCUGUCCUCCUAAUCGAGCGCACGGAUUCGGUCGGGCCUUUCCUUCUGGGGAGCCCGAUGUCCUUCACUGGGCGUCGCGGGGAACCAGGACUUUUACCUUGAAAAAAUUAGAGUGUUCAAAGCAGGCCUUUGCUCGAAUACAUUAGCAUGGAAUAAUAGAAUAGGACAGAGGUUCUAUUUUGUUGGUUUCUAGGACCGCUGUAAUGAUUAAUAGGGAUAGUCGGGGGCGUCCGUAUUCAAUUGUCAGAGGUGAAAUUCUUGGAUUUAUUGAAGACGAACUACUGCGAAAGCAUUCGCCAAGGAUGUUUUCAUUAAUCAGUGAACGAAAGUUAGGGGAUCGAAGACGAUCAGAUACCGUCGUAGUCUUAACCAUAAACUAUGCCGACUAGGGAUCGGACGGUGGUUUUUUUAUGCCCCGUUCGGCACCUUACGAGAAAU